UUGACCUCGGAUCAGGUAGGGAUACCCGCUGAACUUAAGCAUAUCAAUAAGCGGAGGAAAAGAAACCAACAGGGAUUGCCCUAGUAACGGCGAGUGAAGCGGCAACAGCUCAAAUUUGAAAUCUGGCUCUUUCAGAGUCCGAGUUGUAAUUUGCAGAGGGCGCUUUGGCUUUGGCAGCGGUCCAAGUUCCUUGGAACAGGACGUCACAGAGGGUGAGAAUCCCGUACGUGGUCGCUAGCUAUUGCCGUGUAAAGCCCCUUCGACGAGUCGAGUUGUUUGGGAAUGCAGCUCUAAAUGGGAGGUAAAUUUCUUCUAAAGCUAAAUAUUGGCCAGAGACCGAUAGCGCACAAGUAGAGUGAUCGAAAGAUGAAAAGCACUUUGGAAAGAGAGUCAAACAGCACGUGAAAUUGUUGAAAGGGAAGCGCUUGCAGCCAGACUUGCUUGCAGUUGCUCAUCCGGGCUUUUGCCCGGUGCACUCUUCUGUAGGCAGGCCAGCAUCAGUUUGGGCGGUGGGAUAAAGGUCUCUGUCACGUACCUCUCUUCGGGGAGGCCUUAUAGGGGAGACGACAUACCACCAGCCUAGA
rnacentral:rRNA from 1 species